rnacentral:rRNA from 1 species
AUGCCUUCUCAUCUACCUUGCUGGAGUGGCCGCCUCCUCGCUGAUGUAUUGCGCUGCAUCGACCUUCCUCUGCUGCCGCUGCCCGGGUCCCUCCGCUCGCUCCUGCCGAGGUCGCAUAAAUUGCAGGCUGAGGUGAGCACCAUGAGGAUGAGGAGGUCAGUGGCUGAUAUAGAGAGCUCCUCGAACGGGGAAGUAGCAGUUUUGGAGAAACUCGAAGAUGUCAUGUUCAGGUAUGUUCACCGGAAGAGGGGUUACUAUUUUGGCAUGUCCAUUUUGAUGGGAAUCACUACAAAUAGUUAUGUUCAUGAAUAUAUACUGUAUGAUGGAGUAUCAACUAGCUGCCUUUGGUCGCACUUAGUAAAAACACCAGCAUGUUGUUUGUGGUGCAUGCACGGUUGUAGCGAAGAUGUGCAUGCAUUGCUGACCAUGGAGCAUUGCAAGGCUUCAGUAUAUGUACCGCAACUCAGAGACUGGACACAGUGCCACUUGCUACAACCACCAUGCAAGUGGUCGAUGCUUUAG